UACGAAGGGGGCUAGCGUUGCUCGGAAUCACUGGGCGUAAAGGGUGCGUAGGCGGGUCUUUUAAGUCAGGGGUGAAAUCCUGGAGCUCAACUCCAGAACUGCCUUUGAUACUGAAGAUCUUGAGUUCGGGGAGAGGUGAGUGGAACUGCGAGUGUAGAGGUGAAAUUCGUAGAUAUUCGCAAGAACACCAGUGGCGAAGGCGGCUCACUGGCCCGAUACUGACGCUGAGGCACGGAAAGCGUGGGGAGCAAACAGG
rnacentral:rRNA from 1 species